rnacentral:rRNA from 1 species
AUGGGGAGCGGGAAGAAGAGGGCGGCGCUUGCGUCCCUGUUCGGGUUCAAGAACAAGAGACAGCAGCAUGUGGCGGCAGCGCCGCAGCAGAGGUACCAGCAUCACAGGGUGCGGCCGAGCGACGACGACGACUACGCCCGGCACUGGUACGCCGAACGCGACAUCGACCGGAAGGCCUCCGAGUUCAUCGACAAGGUCCACCGCCGGAUGCUCGCCAACGAGCAGGACGGAUAG